rnacentral:tRNA from 1 species
GCCCCGGUAGUGUAGUCCGGCCAAUCAUUUCGGCCUUUCGCGCCGAAGACCCGAGUUCAAAUCUCGGCCGGGGCA